AAUCUUACCGGGACCGACAGCAAUAUGAAGGCCAGGCUGAAGACUUUGCCGGAUUAGCUGAGAGGUGGUGCAUGGCCGUCGUCAGUUCGUACUGUGAAGCAUCCUGUUAAGUCAGGCAACGAGCGAGACCCACGCUCACAGUUGCCAGCGUACUCUCUGGAGUGACGGGUACACUGUGGGGACCGCCGCUGCUAAAGCGGAGGAAGGAAUGGGCAACGGUAGGUCAGUAUGCCCCGAAUAUCCCGGGCUACACGCGGGCUACAAUGGUCGGCACAAUGGGUACCGACCCCGAGAGGGGUAGGCAAUCUCCUAAAACCAAUCUUAGUUCGGAUUGAGGGCUGCAACUCGCCCUCAUGAAGCUGGAAUCCGUAGUAAUCGCGUUUCAACAGAACGCGGUGAAUACGUCCCUGCUCCUU
rnacentral:rRNA from 1 species